rnacentral:rRNA from 2 species
ACGACUCUCGGCAACGGAUAUCUUGGCUCUCGCAUCGAUGAAGAACGCAGCGAAAUGCGAUACUUGGUGUGAAUUGCAGAAUCCCGUGAACCAUCGAGUCUUUGAACGCAAGUUGCGCCCGAGGCUAUCCGGCCGAGGGCACG